rnacentral:rRNA from 1 species
GACGAACGCUGGCGGCGUGCUUAACACAUGCAAGUCGAACGGGCCUUGUCCCCUUUUUUUUUGGGGGUGGGGUUAGUGGCGAACGGGUGAGUAACACGUGAGUAACCUGCCCCUCACUUCUGGAUAACCGCUUGAAAGGGUGGCUAAUACGGGGUGUUCUGGCCUGCUCGCAUGGGUGGGUUUGGAAAGAUUCGACCGGUUUGGUUGUUUUGGUGGGGGAUGGGCUCGCGGCCUAUCAGCUUGUUGGUGGGGUGAUGGCCUGCCAAGGCUUUGACGGGUAGCCGGCCUGAGAGGCUGCGCGGUCACACUGGGACUGCGACACGGCCCAGACUCCUACGGGAGGCAGCAGUGGGGAAUAUUGCACAAUGGGCGCAAGCCUGAUGCAGCGACGCCGCGUGAGGGAUGGAGGCCGUCGGGUUGUGAACCUCUUUCGCAAGUGAAGAAGGUCCUGCUCUUUGUGGUGGGGUUGACGGUAGCUGGGUUAAUGAAGCGCCGGCUAACUACGUG